AGUGAACGCUGGCGGUAGACCUAACACAUGCAAGUCGAACGGCAGCACAGUAAGAGCUUGCUCUUACGGGUGGCGAGUGGCGGACGGGUGAGGAAUACAUCGGAAUCUACUUUUUCGUGGGGGAUAACGUAGGGAAACUUACGCUAAUACCGCAUACGACCUGCGGGUGAAAGCAGGGGAUCUUCGGACCUUGCGCGAUUGAAUGAGCCGAUGUCGGAUUAGCUAGUUGGCGGGGUAAAGGCCCACCAAGGCGACGAUCCGUAGCUGGUCUGAGAGGAUGAUCAGCCACACUGGAACUGAGACACGGUCCAGACUCCUACGGGAGGCAGCAGUGGGGAAUAUUGGAUAAUGGGCGCAAGCCUGAUCCAGCCAUACCGCGUGGGUGAAGAAGGCCUUCGGGUUGUAAAGCCCUUUUGUUGGGAAAGAAAAGCAGCAGGUUAAUACCCCGCUGUUCUGACGGUACCCAAAGAAUAAGCACCGGCUAACUUCGUG
rnacentral:rRNA from 1 species